rnacentral:rRNA from 1 species
AGCGAACGCUGGCGGCAGGCUUAACACAUGCAAGUCGAGCGGGCAUAGCAAUAUGUCAGCGGCAGACGGGUGAGUAACGCGUGGGAACGUACCUUUUGGUUCGGAACAACACAGGGAAACUUGUGCUAAUACCGGAUAAGCCCUUACGGGGAAAGAUUUAUCGCCGAAAGAUCGGCCCGCGUCUGAUUAGCUAGUUGGUGAGGUAAUGGCUCACCAAGGCGACGAUCAGUAGCUGGUCUGAGAGGAUGAUCAGCCACAUUGGGACUGAGACACGGCCCAAACUCCUACGGGAGGCAGCAGUGGGGAAUAUUGGACAAUGGGCGCAAGCCUGAUCCAGCCAUGCCGCGUGAGUGAUGAAGGCCCUAGGGUUGUAAAGCUCUUUUGUGCGGGAAGAUAAUGACGGUACCGCAAGAAUAAGCCCCGGCUAACUUUGUG